rnacentral:rRNA from 1 species
GACGAACGCUGGCGGCGUGCUUAACACAUGCAAGUCGAACGGAAAGGCCCUGCUUUUGUGGGGUGCUCGAGUGGCGAACGGGUGAGUAACACGUGAGUAACCUGCCCUUGACUUUGGGAUAACUUCAGGAAACUGGGGCUAAUACCGGAUAGGAGCUCCUGCUGCAUGGUGGGGGUUGGAAAGUUUCGGCGGUUGGGGAUGGACUCGCGGCUUAUCAGCUUGUUGGUGGGGUAGUGGCUUACCAAGGCUUUGACGGGUAGCCGGCCUGAGAGGGUGACCGGCCACAUUGGGACUGAGAUACGGCCCAGACUCCUACGGGAGUCAGCAGUGAGGAAUAUUGCACAAUGGGCGGAAGCCUGAUGCAGAAACGCCGCGUGCGGGAUGACGGCCUUCGGGUUGUAAACCGCUUUCGCCUGUGACGAAGCGUGAGUGACGGUAAUGGGUAAAGAAGCACCGGCUAACUACGUG